rnacentral:rRNA from 1 species
AUUGAACGCUGGCGGCAGGCCUAACACAUGCAAGUCGAGCGGAUGAAGGGAGCUUGCUCCUGGAUUCAGCGGCGGACGGGUGAGUAAUGCCUAGGAAUCUGCUUGGUAGUGGGGGAUAACGUCCGGAAACGGGCGCUAAUACCGCAUACGUCCUGCGGCAGAAAGUGGGGGAUCUUCGGACCUCACGCUAUCAGAUGAGCCUAGGUCGGAUUAGCUAGUUGGUGGGGUAAAGGCCUACCUAGGCGACGAUCCGUAACUGGUCUGAGAGGAGGAUCAGUCACAGUGGAACUGAGACGCGGUACUGACACCUACGGGAGGCAGCAGGGGGAAUGUUAGACAGUGGGGGGAAGCCUGGUACAGCGAUGGGACGUGUGUGGAGGAGGUCUUCGGAUUGUGAAGCACUUUAAGUUGGGGGGAAGGGCAGUCAGUUGAUACCUUGCUGUUUUGACGUUACCAACAAAAUAAGCACCGGCUAACUACGUG